GGGGGGCCAGGCGGAGCCAUGGAGGAUGGGCCGAGAUCUGCCCCUGAGAUCACUGCAGCCUCUCGGCCCACAGUUCCUUUCAAGGUGCACGAAUUCAUGCACUGAGCCCCUAGUUGAAGCAUAAAAU